GUUUGGAGAGUGGUUGAGCGAGAGUUACUUCAUAAAGCCCGGUGAGUUGUUUCAUGACCCAUGCUGAAUAACAUUGGUACAUGCUGAAAUCAUUUGAUAUUUGGGUUUCUUGUGACAUUUCUUAAGUGUGUUAUCCUGAAUUUACAUAUGUCAUAUGUUGCUUGAUGUGAAUUAGUGUACGAUGAUUGCUGAAUGCCUUGUAAACUAGUGAUCUACACAUUGCUUGCUUUACUGAAAGUAGUGAAAACUACUAGUUUUUAGUGCUCAAAUCCCUAGUGCACUACUAAACUCCGCCAUUUUAUGCUUUUACCUUGAUACACCUAGAUCACUAAGUUUAGAUGUUGAAUUUGUGCCAAGUGUGUUCCCAUUCAGAGCAAUUACUUGACCACUAUGGAUUAGCAUGCUAUGUUCCGUGGAUCGGUAGCAUCUGAACCAGACAUGGAUGAGUGAUGAUUCUUGUUUUUGUUCUUUUAAAAAAGAAAAAAAUGUAAUGAAUAAUUAUCUGAUCUACCUAAUAGUAGCAUGCCAUGUUCCCUAGAUCGGUGGCUUGUGAAAUCUGGCUGGAUUAGAUAGGAGUUAAGUAUAAAAAAAUGUAAUUGUUGAACCAGGUGUAUACCAAGUUCUCUGGAUCGGUGGUAUGUUCCUUUGGGGAGACAAACAAAAAAACUAAUAAUUGGUCGAGCCAGGUGUAUACCAUGUUCUCGGGAUCAGUGGUAUGUUCCUUUGGUGAGACUGAUAACAUAUUAUCAUUGCUUCUCUCAAAUACAAUAAGUGGUUUAACCACAUUGCUUUAUUUCUGUAAAUAAGUGAUUGAUCACAGUUUAAGUUUAUGUUCUCGGGAUCAUACUCUCUUUAGGAACCUUUUGGCACAAUCAUCAAUUAACUUGUUGAUCUUCGUUUAUCUCUGUAAAAGAUUAAAAUGAGUGAGUAUACUAGUAACCUAUUGCUUUGUAGCACUCUUAACCAUUAAUUUUCACUUGCUAAGUCCAAAGCAUGCAUUGUUUAGAUAUCUACUUCACUUGAACAUUCUUUUGUCAGUUUACUGUUCACUAUCUUGCUGUGUCAUAUGCCUUUACUUGAGGACAAGUAAAGAUUUAAGUGUGGGGGAACUUGAUAAGUACAUUUCACAUAUAUAAUUUGGCACUCAAAUAUAGCAUCUAUUGUGAUAUAUUCCUCCAUUUUUGCUAUGAAUUGUUGAAUAUUGGAAUGAUUGAGCAUAUAAAUGAUAGCUUACUAGUUGUUUGUUUGUUUUGCAGAAAAGGGCGAAAAGGCCCAAAUUUCUUCUAUUGUGGACAUGAAGAGAAGUUGUUGCCCCUGCAAAUCCACCGAGGGACCUGAACAUGAAGGAAAGAAGUAACCAAGAUGCCAAGCUAAAGAAGAAAUGGAUCUCCUUGUGAAGAAAGAAGAGAAGUAGGAGGGCUAAAUAGCAAGAAGGCACAUCAGAUCGGAGGGAUAAAAUGUAACGACUAAGAUGCGGUCCUUUUCUAUUUGGGAAACGAGGCCCCGAAUUAGAAAGAAGCGCAUCUAAGCGUUUCGUAAACAUGGUAACAUAGCACAUACAUAAUAUCAACAGAAUGACAAUAAGGGAUUCAAUUGCCAUCUCAUAAAUAUAUCAGAGUUACAUCACGCAUCCAAGCAAGGUAGUUUCGCUAUGGACUACAAAACAUGAGUAAUGACUAUGCUACCCUGCAUGCCUG
rnacentral:lncRNA from 1 species